rnacentral:misc_RNA from 1 species
GAUGAAGAACGUAGCGAAAUGCGAUAAGUAAUGUGAAUUGCAGAAUUCAGUGAAUCAUCGAAUCUUUGAACGCACAUUGCGCCCUCUGGUAUUCCGGGGGGCAUGCCUGUUCGAGCGUCAUUAUAACCACUCAAGCUCUCGCUUGGUAUUGGGGUUCGCGGUUUCGCGGCCCCUAAAAUCAGUGGCGGUGCCUGUCGGCUCUACGCGUAGUAAUACUUCUCGCGAUUGAGUCCGAUAGGUCUACUUGCCAGUAACCCCCAAUUUUUACAGGUUGACCUCGGAUCAGGUAGGGAUACCCGCUGAACUUAAGCAUAUCAAUAAGCGGAGGA